rnacentral:tRNA from 1 species
GAAAAGUUAGUUAAAUUAUAACGUAAAAUUGUCAAUUUUAAAUUACUAUCGUUUAUAGUACUUAUCG